GUUAGGACUUACUGUAUUUGAUUUGUAUACAAAGGCUAUGGGAUUAUAUUUACUCCCUCACAACAGUCCUAUGAGGUAAGUAUAGGACCCCUAUUUCUCAUAGGAGGCUCUGUAGCUUAGACAAGUGAAGCAACAAGCUAAGGUCACAUAUGCUGAGAGAUGAACCAAAGUCUGACCAACUCGGGAUCCUGCCAUGCUAAGUGCUCUUUGUCCUCUACUAACUGCUGACAGUUAAGCUACAUAUUAAAGAAUGAAGAGUUCACGAGAUGGGACCAUCUAGUUGCAGGAAAACAAGCUCAGGGCUUCACUGAUUCUACAUUAUGCACAUACAGGCGUGUGUGAGUAUGUGUAAACAACAAACACUGAACCUGAUCCCGUGCGACUCAAAGUCCAGUCCUCUGACCAGUAGCACCAGCAACAGCUGGGAGCUUGUCGGAAAUACAGACCCUCAGGUCCCGCCCCGAACUGACUGAAUCAGACUCUGCUGUUUAACAAAAUCCCCGAGUGAUUCAUAGAGAUACUAAAGUUUGAGAAGCCCUGCUCUAAAUAAUCUCGUUUGUACCUUCUAACACAUCACCAGGAGGGUGAAGGGAAUGCACACGCUCCACCUCAUCCUGUGAUCUCCAGAGUCAACUGAACAUCCCCAUCCAGAUGGCACUGAAAAGAACCUCUGCCAACCCUACAGCCAAGUGGUUUUAGACUCAUGGCUGAAAGAAUUUUGGCAGAGGCUCCAAAGCUGAUAAGGAAGGGUGUUAAUUAUCUGCACAGUCUAAAAGGAGAUGCCAGAGCAGCUAGGAAAACCUUGCUGAGGGCUUUCAACACAACCCUGGAGCAUUCAGACACAACACAGAGAUAAGAGGAAUUGAGAAAUUUGUGAAAAUGGAAAAGAAACUGAUCAUCUGAUCAUGUGUCCAAUCUCUACUACAGGUUUUGAGCUUGAAUUAGGCUCAUAUUGUCAAAAAGAGAGAAGCUUCACUUGCAUGAGAAAUUGAAGUUUUUAUGUUAGAUUUAUCUUCAUCCUUUUUAUGUUGCUAUAACAGAAUACCUGAGACUUGGGAGUUUACAAGAAAAGAGAUUUCUUUAGCUCGUGAUUCUGACAACUGGAAAAUUCAAGAUCAGGCAGCUGCAUCUGGUGAGGGCCCCAUGCUGCUUAAACUCAUGGCAGAAAGUGGAAGGGGAGCUGGCAUGUGCAAAGAGAUGACAUGGUGGGAGGAAGGAAAAGAUUGGAACUGAGGAAGCCAGACUCUUUUUAACAACCUGCUGUCAGGAAAUAAUCCAUUCCUGCAAGAGGAAGAACUCACUUGCCCCCACAGGAGGCCAUUAAUCUACUCAUAAGAGAUCUGCCCAAUAACCCAAAUACCUCCCACUAGGCCCCACCUCCCAACACUUCCACAUUGGAGAUCAAAUUUCAGCAUGAUCUUUGGCAGAGACAAACCAAAUCAUAGCAAGACUGGACUCGGGUUUUUAAAAACUUAUAGAAAUUUUCGAACAUACGAAAAUAGAAUAGUAUAAUGAACUUCCAUGUCCUUAUCACCCAGCACACUACCCUGAUAUUCUACAUAUUAAAAAUUUGGAGCACAAGUAUACUUGACUAUUUUAAUACCUAAAUGUGAUGACUUCAUUUUGAUGUUUAAUCACUGGCAGCUUUCAGGCCCCACGCUUCUUCCUUCCCCUUUUACCUCACCCGGAAGCCAAUAAGAAAGCCUAGGAUUCUCCCUCAUGUGAUUGUACAAAUUCCAUAGGUUUUCUGGUCUCUUUUAGAUGACAUAAACAGUCUUAUUUUUAGUGUUCUGUGGGUGCCCUGUUAGGGAAGGAUCAAUUCCCCACUCAAUAUCAUUUUGGGUAUCAGGACUGAUGGUGUUAUACAUGCACCCAGAGGGUAUGAAUAUUACUCAUAUAAUGAAACUCUAGGGAGAAUAUGGCAGGUAUUCAAGCUCUUCUGGAAUGGCUUGAGUCAAGAGAAGAGCAAGUACUUUGGAUUUUUAUUAUAGUUAGGGGAUGGAGCCUGGGUGAGUUUCACAUAGCUCAGGGAUUACCUCCUCUACCCACAGGCAUCACCUCAGGGUAUCCAUGCUUCUUGUGCCUACACCUUCUCCUGGCUGGCUGAGUGUUCUGGAAGUCUAAGCGCAGAGAGAUAAAAGUUUCUGCAGAGAGCAGUUUCUUCCAGCAGAACAGUGCUGUGCCAGAACACUGAGGCCAGCAGUGGCAUGGCACUUUUCCCAGGAUCAGCUCUCACUGGGAACACUGAAUAUAUAUUAUAAAUUAUACCUUUUCAUAGAUGAAUUUCUAGGAAAAUUUUAUUCCCUAUUUUCAUGAGUUGUUCCUCCCUAACGAUAGAUGUUAAAGGCUCUAAUUGUCC
rnacentral:lncRNA from 1 species